rnacentral:rRNA from 1 species
UACGUAGGGUGCGAGCGUUAAUCGGAAUUACUGGGCGUAAAGCGUGCACAGGCGGUUUGCUAAGACCGAUGUGAAAUCCCCGGGCUUAACCUGGGAACUGCAUUGGUGACUGGCAGGCUAGAGUGUGGCAGAGGGGGGUAGAAUUCCACGUGUAGCAGUGAAAUGCGUAGAGAUGUGGAGGAAUACCGAUGGCGAAGGCAGCCCCCUGGGCUAACACUGACGCUCAUGCACGAAAGCGUGGGGAGCAAACAGG